UAUCUCUGUAGAGUCUGCAUAUCAAUAAGCGAGGAAAAGAAACUAACUAGGAUUCCCUCAGUAACGGCGAGUGAAGCGGGAAGAGCUCAAAUCUGAAAUCUUCAAGGUUCUACCUUGACGAAUUGUAGUUUAAAGAAGUGUUUUCUGUUGGUGUUUUGGUAAAAGUUCUUUAGAAUAGGACAUCAUAGAGGGUGAGAAUCCCGUAUUUGACCAUUACUUCCAGCGUUGUGAUACACUUUCAAAGAGUCGGAUUGUUUGGGAAUGCAGUCCAAAAUGGGUGGUAAAUUUCAUCUAAAGCUAAAUAUUGGCGAGAGACCGAUAGCGGACAAGUACCGUGAGGGAAAGAUGAAAAGAACUUUGAAAAGAGAGUUAAACAGUACGUGAAAUUGUCAAAAGGGAAGCGCUUGACACCAGUGUUGUUUUCUCGAAAAUCAAUUAAAAAAAGUUGGAUUUUGUAUUGUUAAGACCUUAUCAGCUUACUGUACUCUUUUCUUGCUUUUUUUAAUGCACUUUUCGUUUAACAAGUCAACAUCAAUUUCUUUUGUUGUAAAAGAGUCAUUGGAAGGUGGCUUUCACUUCGGUGAAAGUGUUUAUAGCCUUUGGCUUCUGCAAUCGGAGAGAUUGAGGUCUGCAGCGUAGAUCCUUCGGGGCUAGAUACGUAGAUGCUAAGUUAUAGUUUUUUAUAGACAACUUGUUGACUAUAAUUAAUCAUGUAGCUUACUCGUUUGCGCUAUUUUACCUACGCUUAGGAUGUUGAAGAUGUAGCACAUCAU
rnacentral:rRNA from 1 species